rnacentral:rRNA from 1 species
UACGAAGGGGGCUAGCGUUGUUCGGAUUUACUGGGCGUAAAGCGCGUGUAGGCGGACUUGUAAGUUGGGGGUGAAAUCCCGAGGCUCAACCUCGGAACUGCCUCCAAAACUACAAGUCUGGAGCAAGAUAGAGGCAAGUGGAAUUGCGAGUGUAGAGGUGAAAUUCGUAGAUAUUCGCAGGAACACCAGUGGCGAAGGCGACUUGCUGGAUCUUUGCUGACGCUGAGACGCGAAAGCGUGGGGAGCAAACGGGG